UUGAACUCUGAGACGAGAACAAACAUUCCAUCAUUGCUGACUGCAGUCCCCGCCGCUCCAGAGAGGCCUCUCAACAACACGGAAGCAAGGUUUUUCUCUAUUGGGUGUGGGUUGGUUUCUGACCAGAAGACGAGAACCCACUGCAUUUACACAAAUAUGAUAUUGUUGAUGGAGGCCUGAAUGAGGGCUCUCUCCAUCUAAAAGGUUACCUGGUCGGUGUACAGAAGGCAAAAUCUGUGAAACCAACGUCAGUUCCUCCAUAUCUGAUAAUUCUACCAUCAUUGACACCAGCAUAGGGUCCUCCAACAGUCAGGUCAAAGGCAAGGGACACGGGACCUGUAACAUUUGGCGGCAAUUGGAGUUGGGUAAAGGACGAAAGAGAACAAACCUUGGCGGGAAAACAUAAGAAAAGGAUGAAAAUGGAGAGGAAGACCUCAGUAGAUGGGCUGAAGAUGAUGGCCAUAUCUGUAGUGAGGAGCCACGGUACUCAUAGAAGAGCCACAACAGCAUUUGGUUUAUAGCCUGAGUCUGGACGAGAAAGAAAAGUUUGGGCUGUUGUGCCAAGAUCCGAGCUAAGUCCUGUAAAUGCUGGCAUAAGCUGCAACCAGAGAUGCUACAUAUAAUUCCCCAUUACGCUCUUGAACUUCACUGAUCGCACUGAUUUGAUAUGCCCCAACGAGAGGAGCUACUUCUAAAACCCUGCCAUCAUUGCUGAGUCUUAGCCCUAGAGGCAUCACAAGUGAUUCUGGAGGUGCCGGUGGUCCUAAUGCAUUGUUUAUUGCCACCCAGAACUCUCCCCUUUCGUUCCUCUUAAUGUUACUUGGUUUUCCCAGGAGUUCCAUGAAAACUUCUGAAGUAUUAGCUUUCGGACCUCCAAGCCAAAACCUACGGAUUCUGUUUGCAGUUAACUCAGCAACAAGCACAAACAUACCAUCUCUGCUUACUGCCACCCCAACUGCCACAGAAAGGCCCCCGAGCAAUACUCUCACCUCCCUGCUCUGCGGAUCAUACCUAAAUAGGCUUCCUGUACUGUCAUUGCUUGCAAUUAGUUCCUGCAUAUCCCUGCAAUUAAUAUAUGUGACAAUUUUAAGAGGGGUGAUGGUAACCAAAAAAAAAAAAGAGGACCUUUUUUGUUUCUUCUGUUCAUUUUCUUGAGGAUACCUUAACUGGAAUCGAGUGCUAGCUUCUGUAAAAUAGACCAUUCCAUUUCCUUGGUCCACGUCCAGACCUGCUAGAAACCGAAAGGGGAUGCCUUCUGCAGCAGCAGCAAGUUGGGUAGCAAUCCCUCCACUGGAACCCACCACCAUGAGUCCCAAAUAAGCAUCAACCAUGUAGAGAUCGCCUGUGUGAUAGUUGAAACCCAAGCCUAAUGGCCUCCCACAGGUGGCUUCCAAUGCUGGAUCAAUUGAGCCAUCACACAUUUCCUCGGUCCUGAAUUAUAAGUAAAAUAAUAUUAUUUUCGAUCA